rnacentral:lncRNA from 1 species
UAUUGAUCAAAGUAUAAACUCCUGCCAAAUUCUCACCCGCUUUCCUAUAUAUAAACUAGUGCCAAAUUCUUACCUUUCAAGUUCAGUUUUUUUCUUUUUCCACAAGAGAGCAAAAGAUGAUAAAGUUUGGUAUGAUGGUGGAAUUAUUGGAAGAAUACAGUUUGGUAAUGGCAAGAAUGAGAGAUCAAUUGCAUUUUCAGUUUCUGAGGACUCUUCGUUCUGCUUCAACUUCAUCCUCCUUCUCUGAUUCUUCUUCAUUUCUUGUCUAUUUUUAGUACAGAUUUGUUUCAUAUAUAUGUGCACGAUAUUUGGUCAUGCUUAAAAAACAACUUUUCCUCAUCUCUAUAUAUAAUGCUGAGAAAAGAUACCAAAAAACUGCUUUUAAACGCGAUCAAAUUACACAAGAUGCUGUAAUCUCAUAUUCUUUUGUAUAUAUUUUGAAGAUUUAGUUUUCAGUCAUUUGCUUGUAUAAAACAUGUAAUUCUUAUUCCGUUUUUUGUACAAUCAGCAAAGGAUUAAGGAUUCAGAUGAUUGAAUUAAUUCAAAGAUUUCUUUUUUUAUAUUGUAGAAA